rnacentral:rRNA from 1 species
UACAGAGGUCUCGAGCGUUAGGCGGAAUCACUGGGCUUAAAGCGUGUGUAGGCGGAUCGGUAAGUACCUUGUGAAAUCCCACAGCUUAACUGUGGAACUGCUUGGUAUACUGCCAGUCUUGAGCCAGCUAGGGGCUACCGGAACAAAUGGUGGAGCGGUGAAAUGCGUAGAUAUCAUUUGGAACGCCAAUGGUGAAAACAGGUAGCUGGGCUGUGCUGACGCUGAGACACGAAAGCCAGGGGAGCGAACGGG